CUCCCAAAGGCCAUUUUAGUGACCUUCGGCAAGUUCAUGGCAAAUAAAUAAUGGGAUUGAACCUAAUUUCCUUUACAAAGGAGAGCAGUGUGGCUACUAUUUGCAAACAUCCAGGAGCUCAGUGUUUCUCAGUGUUUAAAGGGACAGUCCAAUAUCUAAGGAAAUAGUCAGUGUAAUCGGAUGUGAUCAUUGCUAUGGCAACAAUUUCUUCCAGAUCAGUGGAUAAAAUGCUCGUUUCAAACUUGUGUCUAUAACUUGAGGGGAUGGAUGAAGAUUUCUAAUGAUGAAUAAGAGAUAUUCCUUCCCCUGCAGUGGACAAAAGUGAGCAGAAAUUCAGGCCUUCAGUCCUGCAGCUGCAACAGGGUAGGUAGGGGCACAUCCUUGUGCUCACA